CCCGGUUCGGCUCGGUUCGACCAGGCCGCACGGAAACGCGAAACCAGCGUCCUGAUAUUCAUCCACCCUGGAACCCGGAUUUAAAAAUGGCCUUUUCCUAAAAAACUAAAAACCUUUUUGUAUUCAGUCUCCUGUUGAUCGGGGCUACACUCUGGCGCCUGAACACACCUGCUGAGGAUCAGGUGCAGCGGGCGAAUAGGUGGCGGGACCGCCAUGUUUGAAGACGCUGCUGUUUGCUGUUUGAGCAGCAGAGGACCGACCCGACCGUGGCGCCUCAGCGGUGGUUUGUUUGGCUGCUGAUGAGGAGCAACAAGAAGGCCGCGGGACGCCAUCUUUGAAAUGGCUGCGUUUGUUUCAAGAGCAGCAGAAGGUCACCUGACCAUGACAUCGCAGCGAUGGUUGGUUUGGGUGCUGGCGUCCCUGAAAUAUGAGGAACAACUGGAGCCAGCAGUUGAUCGACUGGAUUCCCUUCAAUCAAGUUGAGGAUCGCUUCCCUCAAGCUGAGGAUUCCCUACAAGCUGCCUGGCGGAUCCGCCCAACCCAUCAAAGGUUUGUAAAGUCAAAGAACUGUUCCAAUGGCGGGUCCAGAA